UUGAUCUACCGGGCUCUUCCUUGAGGCUGGUGGCUUACAAAUAGAGGGUGAAUUAAGAGAGUGGCAGGCUAGAAAGAAGUGAGCCCAAACGAGAGAGACAUGAUGAGGAGCAACAAGAUGGUUUUGGCACUAAUUACUGUGUCAAUUUGCUUCUUUGCUGCCCAUUCCUUCGACUCAUUGGAGCUUGCUUCCACAUUAAUCAGUGACGGUUUUGAAGGAAAAAGCAACGGCCGGCCAUGGCCAUGCUGCAAUAACUGCGGCAUAUGCACCAAAUCUAUUCCGCCUCAGUGCACAUGCAAUGAUUUGGUGCGGUCUUGCCAUCCUGAGUGCAAAAAUUGCGUCCAGAUGCCGUAUCGUAUCUUCCCUCCCCUCUACCAAUGCAAGGACCUCAUCGUCAACUACUGUGAGCACAAGUGCCAUUCUAAGUAAGCUCAUGGCUGCUUGCAGCAGCAUCCACAGAGACCGUGCAUGUAGCUAAGAAACUGCUCUCUGUUUAUCUGCAUGCCUUGUAUCCCCUAUGCUUUCGAUCAUCGAGUCAUGGUAUGGUGCUUCAUCUCUUUGCAUCAGAUGCGUCGUCAUCAAAUGUAUUGAGGUGCCAUGUAUAAUAAACUUGCAUAAUAAAGUCUUUGUGGUGGUUUGAUGAA